CAGAGAAGGGUUUACGUAUUCUAAAACUUCUGCCGAAAGAGAAGCCACCAAACAGUUGCUAUAUGAACAAAAAACAACAUAAAUACUUCAAUCUUGGAAGCUUUAGUUUUGGAGAAAACCAACAGAGAAAGAAUUUCUUUUCUAUAGAGAAGGAAACAUAGAAAAGCUCCACACAAAUAAUUUUGAAAGCCAAGAAUGGAUCGUUUCAAUAGCACCUUUGAAGCCUAAGCACUUUCAAGUUUCGAGUAUUGCGAGACAGCAGUAGAUGCAGGCGAGGAUUCCAUUAGUUGGAGUACACGAGUUGACAAUUCCUGGCCUGAAUCUCGCGAUGCAGGUAACGAUUUACAAAUUGACGAUUCUGCUUGCUAAGACAUCUCGUAUCAGCUAUUCCUUUCUUUUCAGUCGUUAUAGUAUUUCAGUUAGUAAGGUACGUCGGGGACCUUGUCCCGGUAAACAAUUAGCAUUUCAGUAUUCUUUAGAGGCUUCGUAGACUAUAGUCCAGUCAGUCAGGUGUUAGCAGGCUUCUAUGUGUUAGCCUUGUCAGCUACUCGUUUAUACUUCUGCAUUUGUGAUAUUUAAGUCAAACUCUUUAGUAUAUCAACAUGUUGCAUGUUUAUAUUCAGCUUACAAACAUACCACAUGUUGAUC